GACGAACGCUGGCGGCGUGCUUAACACAUGCAAGUCGAGCGGAAAGGCCCUUUCGGGGGUACUCGAGCGGCGAACGGGUGAGUAACACGUGAGUAAUCUGCCCUUCACUUUGGGAUAGCUCCCGGAAACGGGGAUUAAUACCGGAUACGACCAUUCCACGCAUGUGGUGGUGGUGGAAAGUUUUUUCGGUGGGGGAUGUGCUCGCGGCCUAUCAGCUUGUUGGUGGGUAAUGGCCUACCAAGGCUUCGACGGGUAGCCGGCCUGAGAGGGUGACCGGCCACACUGGGACUGAGACACGGCCCAGACUCCUACGGGAGGCAGCAGUGGGGAAUAUUGGACAAUGGGCGGAAGCCUGAUCCAGCAACGCCGCGUGAGGGAUGACGGCCUUCGGGUUGUAAACCUCUUUCAGCACCGACGAAGCGCCCGUGGGGUGGUGACGGUAGGUGCAGAAGAAGGACCGGCCAACUACGUGCCAGCAGCCGCGGUAACAC
rnacentral:rRNA from 1 species